rnacentral:ncRNA from 1 species
GUUAUUUGAGGUGGAAGAAUUCGUACCCGUCCACACGCCGAUGGCUUGACAGGGGCAACCCGAGAGAUGCAGGAGAAUGGUACGCCUGCCAAAUAAC